rnacentral:rRNA from 1 species
GACGAACGCUGGCGGCGUGCUUAACACAUGCAAGUCGAACGGAAAGGCGCGGCGCUUGUGGGGCUCUCGAUUGGCGCACGGGUGAGUAACACGCGUGGAACCUGCCCCUGUCAUUCGGAUAACAUCAGGAAACUGGGGCGAAUAUCCGAUAUGAUCUCUUGCACCACGGUGGGGGUUGGAAAAUUUCGGCGGUUCGGGAUGUACUCGCUGGUUAUCAGCUUCUUGGUGGAGUAGUGGCUUACCAAGGCUUUGACGGGUAGCCUGCAUGGGAGCGUGACCGGCGACAUGGGUACUGAGAUACGGCGCAGACGCCAACGGGAGGCAGCAGUGGGAAAUAUUGCGCAACGGGCCGAAGUCUGAGGCAGAAACGCUGGGAGCGUAAUAACGUGCUUCGAGGGGUAAACAGCUGUCGACUGUGACGUAGAGGGCGUGACGGUAAUGAAUCAAAAAGCCCCGGCUAACUACGUG